rnacentral:rRNA from 1 species
GCCCGCUCAGAAACUUAAAGGAAUUGACGGGGGCCCGCACAAGCGGAGGAGCAUGUGGUUUAAUUCGAUGAUACGCGAGGAACCUUACCUGGGCUCGAACGUAAGAUGACUGUAGGUGAAAGCUUACAUCUCUUCGGAGCAUUUUACGAGGUGCUGCAUGGUUGUCGUCAGCUCGUGCCGUGAGGUGUCGGGUUAAGUCCCAUAACGAGCGCAACCCCUACCUUUAGUUGCCAUCAGGUUAAGCUGGGGACUCUAAAGGAACUGCCUACGCAAGUAGUGAGGAAGGCGGGGAUGACGUCAAAUCAGCACGGCCCUUACGUCCAGGGCUACACACGUGCUACAAUGGCCGAUACAGAGGGCAGCUACCUGGUGACAGGAUGCAAAUCUCCAAAGUCGGUCUCAGUUCGGAUCGGAGUCUGCAACCCGACUCCGUGAAGUUGGAUUCGCUAGUAAUCGCGCAUCAGCCAUGGCGCGGUGAAUACGUUCCCGGGCCUU